AGGGCUGUAGCUCAGUGGUAGAGCAUUUUCUGUGCAUGAAAGUGGUUGCAGGUUUAGUCCCUGAUAGUUCCA